rnacentral:rRNA from 1 species
AUUGAACGCUGGCGGCAGGCCUAACACAUGCAAGUCGAACGGUAACAGGAAGCAGCUUGCUGCUUCGCUGACGAGUGGCGGACGGGUGAGUAAUGUCUGGGAAACUGCCUGAUGGAGGGGGAUAACUACUGGAAACGGUAGCUAAUACCGCAUAACGUCGCAAGACCAAAGAGGGGGACCUUAGGGCCUCUUGCCAUCGGAUGUGCCCAGAUGGGAUUAGCUAGUAGGUGGGGUAACGGCUCACCUAGCCGACGAUCCCUAGCCGGUCUGAGAGGAUGACCAGCCACACUGGAACUGAGACACGGUCCAGACUCCUACGGGAGGCAGCAGAGGGGAAUAUUGCACAAUGGGCGCAGGCCUGAUGCAGCCAUGCCGCGUGUAUGAAGAAGGCCUUCGGGUUUUAAAGUACUUUCAGAGGGGAGGAAGGGAGUAAAGUUAAUACCUUUGCUCAUUGACGUUACCCGCAGAAGAAGCGCCGGCUAACUCCGUG